UAAAAUUUAGUUUAUUUAUAAAAUUUAUUUUUUACAAAAA
rnacentral:tRNA from 1 species